ensembl:lncRNA
CUGGAGAACACAACAUUAGAAAGUGUAAAUGUGUGGAUGACGUCUUUGACUGACAAAUACAAAUCCAGACCAGAAACACCAGAGUUUGAGCAGAUGUGUUUGGCAGAUUUCGCAGCAACUUGCAGAAUUGUCUACGGCCAGCAGAAAAAAGGAAAAGAUGUGUUGCCUCUCCUCAAUGACAUGGGAUUUGUGCAAAAGCGUAAAAACAAUAAGCCUGCCAUCAUCAGAUUUUACCGCUGCUCACAGGAAAAAUAUCCAGAGAAGUUCUAUGGCACAUUACUGAAACUGUACAUUCCUCACCGAUCAGACCUGGAACUGAAAAGACGGCAUUUCCCCACGUACGAGUCCUUCUACAAGAGUGGUUGUGUCCAACUACCAGGUUCUGACCAUCCUGAGUAUGUCCGUCACAUUGUGAAACGAAACAAAGACAAAUAUGAGAAAAACAGCGAGGACAUUGAGAAUGCAGUGGAAGAAUUUGAACAGAACAGAGGAGUGAUUGAUGAAUGGUGCAAUCUGGCUCCAGAAUCUGAAGUGGAAAGGUUGGAAUGUAUAGAAGAACUCGAGGCAAGAGAGCCAGAUCAUGAAAAUGUUCAAGAAAAUGUUCCAGAAUACACUAAUCAAGCUAAUGCUGCAACAGAAGCCAGAGCCAUCAGAGAGCCUCCGGCCUUUGACCCCACAGUGCUACGGCAAAUGUAUCAGAACCUGAACCAGAAACAAGCAUGUGUGUUCUAUGCAGUUAGAGACUGGUGCGUAAAGCGUGUUUGUGGCCUAAAUCCUGAGCAGUUUUUCUUUUAUGUCAAUGGUGGUGCUGGAACAGGAAAGUCACAUCUCAUUAAAUGCAUCUACUCAGAAGCAUCUAAGAUACUGUGCAAACUGCCCAGCCAUUCUGAGGAGGUCGACAUAUCAAACCCCACGGUCCUGUUGACAGCUUUCACUGGAACUGCAGCCUUCAAUAUAUCAGGAUCAACACUGCACUCUCUGCUCAAGCUUCCACGAAGUCUGAAACCUCCAUUUCAAGGACUUGGUAACCAACUGGAUGAAGUCCGAUCAGAACUUUUAAAUGCUGAAAUCCUCAUCAUUGAUGAAGUGUCUAUGGUGUCAAAGCCCCUGUUUGCUUAUGUGGAUGCAAGACUGAAACAGAUCAAAGGUAGU